rnacentral:rRNA from 1 species
GACGAACGCUGGCGGCGUGCCUAAUACGUGCAAGUAGAACGCUGAAGAGAGGAGCUUGCUCUUCUUGGAUGAGUUGCGAACGGGUGAGUAACGCGUAGGUAACCUGCCUUGUAGCGGGGGAUAACUAUUGGAAACGAUAGCUAAUACCGCAUAACAAUGGAUGACACAUGUCAUUUAUUUGAAAGGGGCAAUUGCUCCACUACAAGAUGGACCUGCGUUGUAUUAGCUAGUAGGUGAGGUAAUGGCUCACCUAGGCGACGAUACAUAGCCGACCUGAGAGGGUGAUCGGCCAACCUGGGACUGAGACACGGCCCAGACCCCUACGGGAGGCAGCAGUAGGGAAUCUUCGGCAAUGGGGGCAACCCUGACCGAGCAACGCCGCGUGAGUGAAGAAGGUUUUCGGAUCGUAAAGCUCUGUUGUAAGUCAAGAACGGGUGUGAGAGUGGAAAGUUCACACUGUGACGGUAGCUUACCAGAAAGGGACGGCUAACUACGUG